GGACAUAUAGCUCAGUGGUAGAGCACUUGUCUAGAAUGCAUGAGGUCCUGGGUUCAGUCUCCAGCACCA
rnacentral:tRNA from 1 species